AUGAAAAUAUAGUUUGCAUUCUUAGAACAGAUAAGAUUACUCAUGUAAGCAGAUAAUACCCUGUACAUAAGAUUUAAGUAAAGAGAACAUUGUUUUCACAUGUUAGAAUUAAGUUCAUAUUGGUGUAAAAAAUUUUGUUUUAGAAGUGUGUUUUUAGCUGAUUAGAUGAUUUAUGGAUUUAAUCCCCUGUAUUGGAGAUCAGAAUCCAUCCAUCCAUCCAUCCAUCCAUCCAUCCAUCCACCCACCCACCCAUCCAUCAAUCUAUCAGACCGAGGAAGAACAGCAGCUCCAUCAUCACCAACUGCUUCUACAGCCCAGGACAACAGAGCUCCAUGCUGAGAAGCUGCUGCCCCGAACACUGGGACCUUAUACCAGAGAGCUGCUGCUCAGAACUCAGGACUUUAUGCCAAAACUUUUGCUUACAGUAACAGUGUCCUCUUCCCAGAAGAAGGUCACAUUUUCUGGUGGACUGGGCUUUACUAAGAAGAAGAGAAACAAAUUUUGCUAAGGCAUCCUAAAAAGCACUUUACAUUUAAAAUAAUUUUUUCCUACCUUGGCUCAAUAUUUCAGUGAGUAGUAAGAGAAAAAGGUGGAUUUUCUUCUUGGAGGUUCUGCUUUUGCAGCUGACCUCCCUAUUAAACAUCAAAAUGGAGCAUGACACCACAACACUGUUCACCAUUUCAGAUGCCACAUUCAAAGACAGUAACUCAUGUCAGGAACCUAUUGCAGCUACUUAAAGAAAGGACUUUGGUCUCCUCACACUCCCUGCAAUCCAGACAAAGAAACAAGCUUCCUCUUGGGAAAUGAAGUGACAAAUUCAGUUCUACAAAACCUCCAAGAGAGACUUUUACAGUUGCUGGGGGCUAUGUGGGAUAUGGUGGGGUAUCUGCAAAAGCCCUGGGCUAUCUAUGCACAGCUGAAUCUGCCCCUCACUGUUUUCAGAGGGUCUGAAGACAACUCCAUGGCUUGACCUACACAGCUGGUAAGUCUUCAGCAGUGUGAAAUAAAGGGCUGAAAAGAGUGCUACCUGCUUUCUCAAUCCUUCUAGUUGCCUUUUUGUAUUAUGAAAACUCUGCCUUCCUAAUUUAAAGACUUCAGUCUGAUCCUUGAUAUUUGUCCUUUGUUACCUAAGAUUUUGAAAUUAAUUUUGUUAUUGGUGGCUGUUUAAUAAUGAAAAUUUGAGGACCAUGCUGCAGUUUUCCAUAAUUUAACAGUUUUUGGUAAAAUUAGGAGAUACAAAAGUAUUCUCAGUUUGAUGCCUUGACAGGUUUGUGUUUAAUCUCUUUUGCUAAAACAUUAUCAUUAAAUUUGAAAUAUGUUUUUCAGAUAAUUCUCCACUGUAUAUCUCUUGUGUGAUUUCUAUUAGAAAAAAAUCCCUACUUUUAAUGAUGUGGGUAUGUGAAAUUCCAGAAGCUUAUAUAUUUAGUAUUUUCAUUUGGAUUUUGAAACUGUAUUUUGGGACAAAUCUGACUGUCUUAUCUCAUUUGAUUGCAGCUGCACACAGCCUAUGUAACUGCAGGGAACAAAAAUCAGCAUGAAAUAACUGUAGUUUUGUUUUGACGUGCACACUACAGUAAUAAUAUUUUAUAUGCCAUAUAACUGAUUUCUUCUCUAACACAGAGAACUAGAAAAUCUGCCAAAGUAGUCAUGAUUUUUCAUACUUACUGUAAAAAUCAGCUUUUAAUUUUUUAAAAAAAAAUUCUUCACUUCCGUUGCUGUUCCUGAUAGAAAUGGCAAGGGUAGGUCCUUCUGUCUUAAAAAGACAUCCAGAAUUAUAAUCUUGAUCCAAUAAAUAGGUGGUACAUGGCUUCCAAACUUUGUCCUUGCCUUCACUAAAUCUGUAAAUAAAAUAAUCUUGGUAAAUGGAAAACUUAACAAUUAAAACAAUUAAUUAAUUUUUAUACUGCUCUCUCUUUUUUAUUUCUUUUUUUCAUUUUUUCAAAUGCUACACUGAGGAAAGUCUGAGCAUGGUUUUUCUUGAAGUGACAAAUUUCACAGUGGUGUGAGGGAAUUAAUCAGCCAAACUACCCAAAUUCCAGCCUUGGGUUUUGAUGCAGUCUGAAGUAAUCAAGUUUCAUUCUUGCUGUUGUUUUCCAAUAAGAGUGACUUGCUCAAACAGAUGCUCUCAUGAUCCUGUUUUCAGGACUGUACUGUGAAAAGUUCUUCCAUGGAUAUGACCCAGAAAUAAAAGAAAAGUACUAUGAUUGUCUUGAACUAAAAUAUUACACUUCUGCUAGUCAGUAAUGAUGGUAGUUAAUAAGGAAAAUAUACACACCUAUGUGGAAAAAACACUUUCAGUGGUGUAAUUAGCCUUAACAUUUAAGCACAAUGAUGGAAGAGGGACAAAUCUUUCCUAUCAUGUCUGUUGUGACUGAUUACUCACCAGGUUUAUUGAUUUGUACACUUCUGCAGGUUGUGAAUAUAAAUAGGUUUAAUGCUGGAUAUUAACAAAUGUUAGAAGCAUUUCUAGUUCACAGAAGACUCAAAUGGACUUUAAGAUUUCAUUCUCCCUAAGUAAAUGCUUUAACAAGAGAGGAAUAGGCACUGACAAUACUCACGUGUAAAAAAAUGACACAUUCUCAUUAUGGAAAAGCUCUCUUGUUGCCCAUGUGAUCUGCAUCUUCUCAUUGUUGAAGUUGAUGAUCGUGGUGUUGAUGGCAUUUUUCUCACCUGCUCAGGACAUUUACGGAGAAUACGAUUUCAGGAGGACAGAGGAUUCCACAAUCAGACACUGAAGAUAAACCUGAUAUUGAAGAAAUGGAGAAAUUAAGAAAGCAGAAGGAUUAGAAGUCUAUUCUAUAUUUUAAAAAAUUAUUUAUUUUGCAUUCUAUAAGAUGUGAAAUUGUGUUUACUUGAGUGAAUAAAGAGGAAGAAAAUAUAUCAGCAAGAAACAAUUUGAAGGUAAAAUUUUCAGACUUCUCUGUCCAGCUGUGAAGUGUCUAACACUAAAAAUCUUUGUUGGAAUAUUCUUGUCUAGAAGGAGAAUAGAAGAUUUUAGCUUUGAUUGCUGUGUGCAUUUUAUGCUCCUCUGGACUUUUGAAGGGGUUUGAAAUUUUAAAAUAUUUCUUUAUGAGCUAUUUAUCAUAUCCAGCCAUUCUGAUUACUUCAUGGGAAUCAAGAAUAACUAUUCUCAUGGUUGCUAUUUGUUGCUCUGUAAUCAACAUGAAGAAUGUGAGACGUGGGUUCGAGUAAGAAAUUUGCCUAUUUUCACGCCUGUAUCUGUGUUUUUGUGCUUUAUGACUACUCUAAUUAGAACAUUUUUAUGGAAGUGUUUUUGUACUGUAACACAUAGUCUUGUCAAAACCAUUCAAGGCAGUUAUGACAAAAAUCCAGGACACACUGGGCCUGUACCUUCAGGUUUCUGCUAUGUGAGUCAUGGAGCUGUGGAAAAAAGAUUCUGCUCUUAUUUAUGAAAAGGACUUGAAACUACCUCCUCCAUCUUUUACCUCAUGCAUGCAAGCUUGUUUUAUAUUGUUUUCUCAAACAGAAAAUCUUGUUUACAUGCUGAGGCAAUAACCAGAAGUGAAAAAUCUUAAAAAGUGUAAUAAAGUGGAGUUUAUCCAGCCAGUUCUACCUACCUCUGUUGCAAAAAAGUACCUACAAAGACUUCAAGCUCUUUGUAAUUCCCUUCUGCAGGUCUAAGAGAUGAUCUUUUACUAAAUCCACUAAGAAAUAAGCAGGCAAAGUGCCUAAUAGUGGAUACUUGGUCUGUGAUUACAUUAGCAUAUUUUAAUUUUUGUGGACUGCUUUAGCAUGGUUGUGCUGUGCAGUACAUAGUGUAAGUGAAAUCCUUUACUUCUUGGACUUCGAUUUUCUGUAAAAUAAAAUAUAAAAGUAGUUUAAUGUAUAUUUAAUGUGUAUUAAGUGUAUAAUUGCAUGUUCUCCAUUCUUAUUUAAAACAGACAUCAUAAAAAAUCCUGAGAUAUUUAAAAUAUAUACUUCCUACUUUUGGAUAAUUAGUCUGAUUGCCUGUAUUUUCACUUUGAGAAACUGAUCAUGCUUCUAAUGAUCAUGCCGCUAAUGAUCAUGCUUCAAUUAUGAAAAUAAGAGCAGGAAGAGUACUUGACUUCUUAAUUACAUAUUUUCAAGGGUAAUUAAUUUCAAAAUUAAUUUCUGAUGUUGUUUCUAUGUGUACAAUAGUUGGGAACAAUGGCAGAAAGCAAAACACUCUUUGUAGGGCCUAUUUUUCAAUCUUCCACUAGCCCAGGCUGCUCAGAGCUCCAUCCAACUUGGCCUCAAACAAUUCCAAGGAUGG